GUCUACCGCCUUGCCACCCUGAACAAGCCCAAUCCUGUCUGAUCUCGGAAACUAAGCAGGGUCGGGCCUGGUUAGUACUUGGAUGGGGGAUCACCUUGGAAGACCAGGUGCUCUAGUCG
rnacentral:rRNA from 1 species